AAUAUACUAUGGGUUUAUCGUUAUUAUAUCCCUAAACGCUCCUCCCUUCUUUUUUCUCAUCGGAAUCCUAAAGAACCUUAUCUGUGCGGCCAUGGCAACCUCAGCUACUUCACUCCAUUUUCUCUCUCUAACCCCUCAAUCGCUUUCUUUUUCAAAACCCAAUGCCAUACCCGCCGCUUCUUUAUCUCUUUUCUCUCUCCCGUCAUCUUCUCGUGCUCUAAAACUAUCUUCUUCUUCUUCGCCUUUUACAUUUUCAGUUAGACACUUUGAUUCCACAUUCGCGUCACGCUUCGUCAGAGGCGUCACGCUUUCGUCAGAAUUCGACCAGAUUGAAGAAGUGGAAGACGAGGACGAGGGAGUUCCCAGCGAUGGCGGUUCCUCGUACCCGGACGAACCCCGUUUCUCUCCUGAGCUCAAGCUCUUCGUGGGCAAUUUGCCGUACAAUAUCGACAGCGCUGCUCUUGCUGGGCUGUUUCAACAAGCUGGAAAUGUUGAGAUGGUCGAGGUUAUAUAUGACAAACAGACAGGAAGAAGCAGAGGGUUUGGCUUUGUGACAAUGUCAACUGUGGAGGAAGUUGAAUUAGCCGCUCAACAAUUCAAUGGAUAUGAACUUGACGGGAGGGCAUUGAAGGUCAAUUCUGGGCCACCUCCACCUAGGAGGGAAAAUUCCACGUUUGGUGGUGCAAGGGGUGGUAGAAGUUUCGACAACGCCAACCGAGGCCACAAACUCCAUGUGGGAAACCUUGCUUGGGGUGUUGAUGAUCAGGCGCUUGAAACCUUAUUCAGUGAGCAAGGAAAGGUGUUGGAAGCAAGAGUGGUGUACGACCGAGAGAGUGGAAGGUCGAGGGGAUUUGGAUUUGUAACUUACGGUUCUGCUGAGGAGGCCAACAAUGCUAUUAAAAUGUUGGAUGGCGUUAACCUAAUUGGUAGGCAAAUCGGUGUAAGUCUUGCUGAAUCAAGACCUCCAAGGCGCCAGUUCUGAGAUUGCUAACCAUGCCUGAUAUCAAGUAUUCAAGUGAGCGGGAACCCAGGGUUGGACGAGAGAUGCGGAUGACCCAACAAUGCAGCAAUGCUCAUGAAGGGCUUGAUUUUGCAGAGCUGCUACGUAGCUACACCGUAUGUAUUUGAAAGCCCUCUCUAUGUAUUUCUGUCACAAUGUAUGCCUGUAAAAAUGGCAAUGCAACUUGUAACCUGCCACCUAUUGCUUGUGGUGGAUUAAGAGAGAACUAAAUUCUUGGAUCAAUGGGCUCUUUUUCUAGGUGGUAAUGUGGUAUUGUGGUGUGAACCCCUUAGUCUUCAAAAUUUUGUUUACUUGUCACCA